rnacentral:rRNA from 1 species
UACGGGGGGGGCAAGCGUUGUUCGGAAUUACUGGGCGUAAAGGGCUCGUAGGCGGCCAACUAAGUCACACGUGAAAUCCCUCGGCUCAACCGGGGAACUGCGUGUGAGACUGGAUGGCUUGAGUUUGGGAGAGGAAUGCGGAAUUCCAGGUGUAGCGGUGAAAUGCGCAGAUAUCUGGAGGAACACCGGUGGCGAAGGCGGCAUUCUGGACCAACACUGACGCUGAGGAGCGAAAGCCAGGGGAGCAAACGGG